rnacentral:lncRNA from 1 species
CUGGACUUAAUCACCAAAUCCUGGAGUACUAGAACUAGGGUGCACUCCUUGAAGUUUGAAAAAGCUCCAGCCUGAUAGUCUCAACCCGAGGACCCAGUCCUAACACUAAUCUGACCAGAGUCCUGUACAAUUUCCUAGGUAAGCUGAAAUGAUUAGAUACACCACAGAAACCUUCAACCCAGGAAAAUUUCUUUGCCAGUCUUU